rnacentral:misc_RNA from 1 species
GUAUUUAUUAUAUAGUUUAUAUAUUUCAGACCAAUAAUAUUUAGACAUGUUUAAUAAAAUUGGCAGGCCGAGCUAGCCCACAGGCUCGUGGUUAUACAGAGCCUUAACCUGCCAACAAACACUUCAAUGAUUCACACAAGGUGGAUAUGGAUAAAAUUAUCCAUUAUUCGUGGAUAAUUGUUAAUGAUCCUUCCGCAGGUUCACCUACGGAAA